rnacentral:rRNA from 1 species
CAGUCGCCGCGGUAAAACGGAGGGGGCUAGCGUUAAUCGGAAUUACUGGGCGUAAGGCGUGCGUAGGCGGUUUGUUAAGUCUGCUGUGAAAUCCCCGGGCUCAACCUGGGAAUGGCAGUGGAUACUGGCAAGCUAGAGUGUGUCAGAGGAUGGUGGAAUUCCCGGUGUAGCGGUGAAAUGCGUAAAGAUCGGGAGGAACAUCAGUGGCGAAGGCGGCCAUCUGGGACAACACUGACGCUGAGGCACGAAAGCGUGGGGAGCAAACAGGAUUAGAUACCCCAGUAGUCCCUGUCUCUUAUAC